rnacentral:rRNA from 1 species
GACGAACGCUGGCGGCGUGCCUAAUACAUGCAAGUAGAACGCUGAAGAGAGGAGCUUACUCUUCUUGGAUGAGUUGCGAACGGGUGAGUAACGCGUAGGUAACCUGCCUUGUAGCGGGGGAUAACUAUUGGAAACGAUAGCUAAUGCCGCAUAACAAUGGAUGACACAUGUCAUUUAUUUGAAAGGGGCAAUUGCUCCACUACAAGAUGGACCUGCGUUGUAUUAGCUAGUAGGUGAGGUAAUGGCUCACCUAGGCGACGAUACAUAGCCGACCUGAGAGGGUGAUCGGCCACACUGGGACUGAGACACGGCCCAGACUCCUACGGGAGGCAGCAGUAGGGAAUCUUCGGCAAUGGGGGCAACCCUGACCGAGCAACGCCGCGUGAGUGAAGAAGGUUUUCGGAUCGUAAAGCUCUGUUGUAAGUCAAGAACGGGUGUGAGAGUGGAAAGUUCACACUGUGACGGUAGCUUACCAGAAAGGGACGGCUAACUACGUG